CAGUAGCCGCGGGAAUACGUAGGUGGCAAGCGUUGUCCGGAAUUACUGGGCGUAAAGGGCGCGUAGGCGGGCUGAUAAGUCGGGGGUGAAAUCCCAAGGCUCAACCUUGGAACUGCCUUUGAUACUGUUGGUCUUGAGUCCGGGAGAGGUGAGUGGAACUGCGAGUGUAGAGGUGAAAUUCGUAGAUAUUCGCAAGGACACCAGUGGCGAAGGCGGCUCACUGGCCCGGAACUGACGCUGAGGCGCGAAAGCGUGGGGAGCAAACAGGAUUAGAUACCCCAGUAGUCCCUGUCUCUUAUAA
rnacentral:rRNA from 1 species